UGUUGAAGAUCUUUAUGUAGAAGGACUUCCUGAAGGAAUUCCUUUUAGAAGGCCAUCUACUUACGGAAUUCCUCGCCUGGAGAGGAUAUUACUUGCAAAGGAAAGGAUUCGUUUUGUGAUUAAGAAACAUGAGCUUCUGAAUUCAACACGUGAAGAUUUACAGCUUGAUAAGCCAGCUUCAGGAGUAAAGGAAGAAUGGUAUGCCAGAAUCACUAAAUUAAGAAAGAUGGUGGAUCAGCUUUUCUGCAAAAAAUUUGCGGAAGCCUUGGGGAGCACUGAAGCCAAGGCUGUACCGUACCAAAAAUUUGAGGCACACCCGAAUGAUCUGUACGUGGAAGGACUGCCAGAAAACAUUCCUUUCCGAAGUCCCUCAUGGUAUGGAAUCCCAAGGCUGGAAAAAAUCAUUCAAGUGGGCAAUCGAAUUAAAUUUGUUAUUAAAAGACCAGAACUUCUGACUCACAGUACCACUGAAGUUACUCAGCCAAGAACGAAUACACCAGUCAAAGAAGAUUGGAAUGUCAGAAUUACCAAGCUACGGAAGCAAGUGGAAGAGAUUUUUAAUUUGAAAUUUGCUUAGAUUUGUUGACAGCGGUUUCCUGGAGUGCUGUCUUGAGAACGAUUCUGAGGAGGCUCAGCAAGAAAGAGUGUUUCAGUUGAUUGGGUGUGUCUGUCAUGGAGAAGGAACUCAAGCUCUUGGACUCACCGAGGCGGUAAAAGUACCAUAUCCUGUGUUUGAAUCAAACCCGGAGUUCUUGUACGUGGAAGGCUUGCCAGAGGGGAUUCCCUUCCGAAGCCCUACCUGGUUUGGAAUUCCACGACUUGAAAGGAUCGUCCGCGGGAGUAAUAAAAUCAAGUUCGUUGUUAAAAA
rnacentral:sRNA from 1 species